AAGUCGUAACAAGGUCUCCGUUGGUGAACCAGCGGAGGGAUCAUUACCGAGUUUACAACUCCCAAACCCAAUGUGAACGUUACCAAACUGUUGCCUCGGCGGGAUCUCUGCCCCGGGUGCGUCGCAGCCCCGGACCAAGGCGCCCGCCGGAGGACCAACCAAAACUCUUAUUGUAUACCCCCUCGCGGGUUUUUUAUAAUCUGAGCCUUCUCGGCGCCUCUCGUAGGCGUUUCGAAAAUGAAUCAAAACUUUCAACAACGGAUCUCUUGGUUCUG
rnacentral:misc_RNA from 1 species